rnacentral:rRNA from 1 species
GGUAGUUGGUGGGGUAAAGGCUCACCAAGCCGACGAUCUGUAGCUGGUCUGAGAGGACGACCAGCCACACUGGGACUGAGACACGGCCCAGACUCCUACGGGAGGCAGCAGUGGGGAAUUUUGGACAAUGGGCGCAAGCCUGAUCCAGCCAUGCCGCGUGAGUGAAGAAGGCCUUCGGGUUGUAAAGCUCUUUCGGCCGGGACGAAAUGGCGCGGGGUAAUAUCCCGCGUCGAUGACGGUACCGGAAGAAGAAGGACCGGCUAACUACGUGCCAGCAGCCGCGGUAAUACGUAGGGUCCAAGCGUUAAUCGGAAUUACUGGGCGUAAAGCGUGCGUAGGCGGUCUCGCAAGUCCGAUGUGAAAUCCCCGGGCUUAACCUGGGAACUGCGUUUGAAACAC